GUACCCGCGGCAAGACGGAAAGACCCCGUGAACCUUUACUAUAGCUUGACACUGAACAUUGAGCCUUGAUGUGUAGGAUAGGUGGGAGGCUUUGAAGUGUGGACGCCAGUCUGCAUGGAGCCGGCCUUGAAAUACCACCCUUUAAUGUUUGAUGUUCUAACGUGGACCCGUAAUCCGGGUUGCGGACAGUGUCUGGUGGGUAGUUUGACUGGGGCGGUCUCCUCCUAAAGAGUAACGGAGGAGCACGAAGGUUGGCUAAUCCUGGUCGGACAUCAGGAGGUUAGUGCAAUGGCAUAAGCCAGCUUGACUGCGAGCGUGACGGCGCGAGCAGGUGCGAAAGCAGGUCAUAGUGAUCCGGUGGUUCUGAAUGGAAGGGCCAUCGCUCAACGGAUAAAAGGUACUCCGGGGAUAACAGGCUGAUACCGCCCAAGAGUUCAUAUCGACGGCGGUGUUUGGCACCUCGAUGUCGGCUCAUCACAUCCUGGGGCUGAAGUAGGUCCCAAGGGUAUGGCUGUUCGCCAUUUAAAGUGGUACGCGAGCUGGGUUUAGAACGUCGUGAGACAGUUCGGUCCCUAUCUGCCGUGGGCGCUGGAGAACUGAGGGGGGCUGCUCCUAGUACGAGAGGACCGGAGUGGACGCAUCACUGGUGUUCGGGUUGUCAUGCCAAUGGCACUGCCCGGUAGCUAAAUGCGGAAGAGAUAAGUGCUGAAAGCAUCUAAGCACGAAACUUGCCCCGA
rnacentral:rRNA from 1 species